UAUAUGAAAUGCAUACAUACUUUUCUAACUAAUCAAUCAAUCUAUCUAUACAUCCAUAUCCCUUAUCCAUAUUCGUCUAUCAAUCCAUCCAUCCAUCCAUUCAUCCAUUCAUCCAUCAUCCAUUGUCUCUCGGCCCCUGUCUCCCGCGCAGCUGCAAGAUAUCAACGACCCCCCAUCGUGGCACGCCGACCCCAUCUUCACUCAAAUGAAGGCACGCCAUGCAUGAAAUGGCUGCGAUUUCAAACCGUCACCGCGCACUUUUGCAUCGCAAACUAUUCCCGUCUACAUUCAUCGAUAAUGAGCUUUGUUCCCUGCGUUUAUAUCGCUAAAUCGCCCAAUCUGCAUUAUAUUGCGUACGCGACUUUUUCGCGUCUGUUUUGUUUGUUCGUACGUUGAUCGCUGUCGGGCGCCUUCUAUUAUGAAUACGAACGCCAGCGUCAUCGCUGUGAUCACCGACUCACGAUCAAUGCACCAUAUUGACACGACGACCGGACCUAAAGGACAGACAAUUCGUGACAACGAGACGUUUGUUUGGAGCCGAUCAAACCGGAAUCGAUCGCUCGCCGCAGAGACGCUCGUUGUAUUGUUAUCAAUGACGUCAAUCUAAUCAGGUUUUGGUCACCGCGCCGGCUACUUAAGAGUAGAGUGAACACGCAUGUUUAGUUUGCAGUUGACCACGAGCAAAAAAAUCUCUGGUCAGAUACGCAGCCGUCAUCUCAAGCAAGAAAUCUCCAGCAAGAUGCAGGUCGUCAUAGUAACGGCGCUGAUCCUCAGCUUGGUAUUGCAAGUUACCUACGGUAAUGACUAUGGGACCAGAACAAGGAGACCACACCGUUACUAUGGUUACAACCAUAGAACAACAACAACAACGGAGAGACCGCGACAUUACUAUGGCUACCACCACGGAACAACAACAACAACGGAGAGGCCGCGACAUUACUAUGGCUACCAGCACGGAACAACAACAACAACGGAGAGGCCGCGACAUUACUAUGGCUACCAGCACGGAACAACAACAACGGAUAGACCGCGACAUUACUAUGGUUACCACCACGGAACAACAACAACGGAUAGACCGCGACAUUACUAUAGCUCUCAUAAUCGACGAAGUUAUCCAGAUUAUAGAUACAGGGGUUACCAAAACGUAUAUAAUCGCAAAUCGUCACGCCGCUAUUAGAGUUAGCGACAUGACACUAAUAGAUCACCGCUCUACUAACGUCACAUCGUAACACGACCACACAGACACAAAUUACAGUGACGGAAGAGCAUUACCGUGCUCUCAGACUAAUCUAUCUGGAUGCGAAACAUCUGAAUAUCCAACAUUGAACCGACGCACGAUUCUUUUUCUUACUUUUGUUUCGUGGUGCCCUUAUUGUCAUCAAAUGUGACGUACAGCAGACUGUAUACAUUUGUGCACCGAUUUGGCUGCACGCGCAUCGUUAUGGUCUAGUUGCUUUUCUCGCAAUUUUCGACCACAUUAACGGAUACGCUAUUUUCGUGUAUGUACGUAGUUGAUAUGCUUACAUUUGAUGCAAAUAUGUUACCGACCUAAGUCAUACUUAUGUGAGUUCCUAUAACUAACAAAAAAUAAUAUUUUCGUAUCAUCGCACUCAAAUGUCUUUUCACGUCGAAAAAUAUUUUAUGUCCUUGUUCCGCAUAAGAAAAUGCUGUUAUUAUUGUUCUUUAUGCAGCUAACCAUGUUCAUGCUUUCUUCGAGAAAAUACCAGUAAUAUGUACAUGUACGCAAGUAGACCUUAUAUGUAAAAUAAAAAACAAAUUCUUCACCAUA